rnacentral:rRNA from 1 species
UACGUAGGCAGCAAGCGUUGUUCGGAGUUACUGGGCGUAAAGGGCGCGUAGGCGGCGUGACAAGUCACUUGUGAAAUCUCCGGGCUUAACCCGGAGCGGCCAAGUGAUACUGUCGUGCUAGAGUGCGGAAGGGGCUACUGGAAUUCUCGGUGUAGCGGUGAAAUGCGUAGAUAUCGAGAGGAACACCUGCGGCGAAGGCGGGUAGCUGGGCCGACACUGACGCUGAGGCGCGAAAGCCAGGGGAGCGAACGGG